rnacentral:lncRNA from 10 species
UCUGCAGGUUCCUCCCGGGUCAGGCAUGACCUGUAGGCUGCUGAUUCUGUGGAUGUCUGUGGGCCUCAGAGGGGGAAGCUGGAGUGUUUGGGGUGAGGGAAACCCAGGGGCUUAGAGUCCUGGCUUUUCACCAACCAGUAUGGAUGUAUUUGAAUACUGUAGCAACUGGAAUACCUACACGGAUGUGGACGGGCUGAAUACUGCCAAGCCCCAAGAAUACUCACGUAGUUCUACCAAGAGGUCCAUGUGGUGAGAAACUGAGGCCUCCUGCCCGCAGCCAUGUGAGUGAGCCAUCUUGGAAGCAGCCCCUCCAGCCCAGGCAAGCUUCAGGAGACUGCAGCCACAGCUGACAUUUUAACGACGACCUCAGGACGGUCCAUGAGCCAGAAGCCACUUCUGAAUUCCUGACUCACAGAAACUAUAAGGAUCAUAACAUAGGUAAUGUUCAGAAACCAG